CUUCUCUUCACUGUAUAUGCAGUGUAUAUAUGGAUGAAGCGAGAGAUAAAUGUGUUGUGGUCUUUUUGCUGUGAUGCCUGUGAAUUUUUUUGUGGAUCAUAAUUUUAAAAGACAAAGGCGCUACGACACCGAGCUGUUUGCUGUGGGGUUUGGUGGCUUUGUGGUGGUGUUGUGCUCCCUGGAGUGGGAGGCUGUUGGUUCAAACCCAGCUUGGGUGCAGUGUGCUGGAUGGUGAAAUGUAGAAUGGGGAGUUAAUGUGUCUCACUUUUUUGACCUGGAAGUGUGAUGCUUAGUUCAUGGUUACAUAAAUGAAGGUGAAAAGGUCUAUAAAACAGGCUUCUUGUACAAGAUCCUGUAGCUCAUGUGGAUGAGCAUCGCCCUCCGGGUUGAGUGGUUGCUGGUUCAAACGCCAGCCAGGAUGAAAGGAUAAGAGCGUGGAAGGUUCAGGAUUGAUGCGGAAGGUCCAGGAUGAGUGGCGUGGAAGGUGCAGGAUGGCUGGAGGGCGUGACCAAGGGGGGUAAUAUCCGGGCAUCUGCCCCCCGAGGACCAGCAGUGGACAGUAAGAGGGUUAUGGAACCUGAAGUGAGGGGUUGGACUUAGUUUUGCAUUAUAUAAAAAUUUUCUGUAAAAACCCUAUGUCCAACCUUUCUCUUCAAGUUUCAUAACCGCUUUCUGCUCCUGCUCUGUGGGGAGCUGCCCUGCUACUCACCCACAACCAGCUCACACCAUCCAUCCAUCCCCACAUCCCCCAGCCUUCCACUGCUUCCUGAACCAUCUACACCCAUAUCCUUGAAUCCUGGCUGGGGUUUGAACCAGCAAUCUCUCAACCCAGAGGGCGAUGCUCAUCCACAUGAGCUACAGGAUCUCGUACAAGAAGCCUGUUUUAUAGACCUUUUCACCUUCAUAUACGUAACCCUGCCCUAAAGGGGAAACAGCACAGACGUGAACCAAACAUAAACACAGGGCCGAGUAGGAUUCAAACCAGCAACCCCUGAGCACAGG
ensembl:lncRNA